GACGACGCUGGCGGCGUGGAUUAGGCAUGCAAGUCGAACGGUAUCAUCCUUUCGGGGGUGAGAGAGUGGCGAACUGGUGAGUAACACGUAGGUUAUCUACCCUCAAGACGGGGACAACCCAGGGAAACUUGGGCUAAUACCGGAUGUGAGCAACUUUUAGUUGUUUGAAAGGUGGCGUAAGCUGUCGCUUGGGGAUGAGCCUGCGUCCUAUUAGUUAGUUGGUGAGGUAACGGCUCACCUAGGCAAUGAUAGGUAGGCGGCCUUAACGGGUGGUCGCCCACACUGGGAUUGAGAUACGGCCUAGACUCCUACGGGAGGCAGCAGUCGAGAAUAGUCUACAAUGGUCGGAAGACUGAUAGUGCGACGCCGCGUGAACGAUGAAUCCCUUCGGGGUGUAAAGUUCUUUUAUAUGUGAGCAGUGCUUCUUAUAUUAACAGUAUGGGGAGAGAGAUAUUAGCAUAUGAAUAAGCAACGGCUAACUCCGUG
rnacentral:rRNA from 1 species